AUUGAACGCUGGCGGCAUGCCUUACACAUGCAAGUCGAACGGUAACAGGUCUUCGGAUGCUGACGAGUGGCGAACGGGUGAGUAAUACAUCGGAACGUGCCUAGUAGUGGGGGAUAACUACUCGAAAGAGUGGCUAAUACCGCAUGAGAUCUACGGAUGAAAGCAGGGGAUCGCAAGACCUUGUGCUACUAGAGCGGCCGAUGGCAGAUUAGGUAGUUGGUGGGAUAAAAGCUUACCAAGCCGACGAUCUGUAGCUGGUCUGAGAGGACGAUCAGCAACACUGGGACGGAGACACGGCCCAGACUCCUACGGGAGGCAGCAGUGGGGAAUUUUGGAAAAUGGGCGCAAGCCUGAUCCAGCAAUGCCGCGUGCAGGAUGAAGGCCUUCGGGUUGUAAACUGCUUUUGUACGGAACGAAAAGCCCUGGGUUAAUACCCUGGGGUCAUGACGGUACCGUAAGAAUAAGCACCGGCUAACUACGUGCCAGCCGCCGCCGUAACAC
rnacentral:rRNA from 1 species